rnacentral:rRNA from 1 species
CUUAGGAUGGUUAUAGUUACCACCGCCGUUUACUGGGGCUUAAAUUCUGAGCUUCGCCGAAGCUAACCCUUCCUCUUAACCUUCCAGCACCGGGCAGGCGUCAGUCCGUAUACAUCGUCUUGCGACUUAGCACGGACCUGUGUUUUUAGUAAACAGUCGCUUCCCACUGGUCUCUGCGGCCUUCAAACGCUCCAGGAGUAAAUCCCUUCACGCCUCAGGCCCCCCUUCUCCCGAAGUUACGGGGGCAUUUUGCCGAGUUCCUUAACCACGAUUCUCUCGAUCUCCUUGGUAUUCUCUACCUGACCACCUGAGUCGGUU